GAUGAACGCUGGCGGCGUGCUUAACACAUGCAAGGUCGAACGGACGAUGAAGAGCUUGCUUUCAGAGUUAGUGGCGGACGGGUGAGUAACGCGUGGGUAACCUGCCUCAUACAGGGGGAUAGCAGCUGGAAACGGCUGAUAAACCGCAUAAGCGCACGGUACUGCAUGGUACAGUGUGAAAAACUCCGGUGGUAUGAGAUGGACCCGCGUCUGAUUAGCUAGUUGGUGGGGUAACGGCCUACCAAGGCGACGAUCAGUAGCCGACCUGAGAGGGUGACCGGCCACAUUGGGACUGAGACACGGGCCCAAACUCCUACGGGAGGCAGCAGUGGGGAAUAUUGCACAAUGGGGGAAACCCUGAUGCAGCGACGCCGCGUGAGCGAAGAAGUAUUUCGGUAUGUAAAGCUCUAUCAGCAGGGAAGAAGAAAUGACGGUACCUGACUAAGAAGCACCGGCUAAAUACGUG
rnacentral:rRNA from 1 species